rnacentral:rRNA from 1 species
CCUACGGGAGGCAGCAGUGGGGAAUAUUGGGCAAUGGGCGCAAGCCUGACCCAGCAACGCCGCGUGAAGGAAGAAGGCUUUCGGGUUGUAAACUUCUUUUCUCAGGGACGAAGCAAGUGACGGUACCUGAGGAAUAAGCCACGGCUAACUACGUGCCAGCAGCCGCGGUAAUACGUAGGUGGCAAGCGUCAUCCGGAUUUACUGGGUGUAAAGGGCGUGUAGGCGGGACUGCAAGUCAGAUGUGAAAACCACGGGCUCAACCUGUGGACUGCAUUUGAAACUGUAGUUCUUGAGUGCUGGAGAGGCAGACGGAAUUCCUAGUGUAGCGGUGAAAUGCGUAGAUAUUAGGAGGAACACCAGUGGCGAAGGCGGUCUGCUGGACAGCAACUGACGCUGAGGCGCGAAAGCGUGGGGAGCAAACAGGAUUAGAUACCCCUGUAGUC